ACGUGUGGGCUAUGGAGUCAGACUGUCUAGAUCCUGUGAAAAUAUAUUUUUUAAAAAAGAUAAAAUCAUGACUCUCAAAUAGAAGAUGAACACUUGUCAAAGAUUAUAUUCAACUCAUUAAUUGAGAAAACCAAUAUGAUGUUUCAAGCAGUUUGAAGGCAAAUUCAAAAUACCAUUUAUAGACAAUUGGGAAUGCUAAAAUUAACUUACAAAUAGAUGCAAAACAAGCUUUUUGCAUGAUGGGAGGGGAAAUCAAAAAUUGUCUCUCCACCUGAUAGAACCAUUUGUAUGUCUAUGAACAAGAAUUACUUCCAAUGCCAACAGUUUUCUAUAAUUUUCAGAGUUAUAAUUGGCUGAAAGACAACAAAAUAAUUCAUAUAAAAUGAAAGACUAAAAUGGCAGUGUUUGGAGCAGAUUUAAGUUAGUCUAGAAAUCAGAGAAAGUGAAAUCUUUUGAUACCUUAAUGUUGUGAACUUAAAUUUUACUUUUGUAAAAACUGUGGGGAAAUACUACCACCCAGAAAGGGCCAGUUCCUCUGGCAGAGGGGUGAGCCUCAUCUGGAUUAUUGCCUAGUGCUCAAUUUUGCAUCUCAUUCAAAUUUGACUCCUUUGUGCUUUCAAUACAUUUGACCCUUAAGGAAUCCACUUAAUAUACUGAUCCAACUAUUUCUUAAGAAUAAGAUCAUCAAUGGCCUUCAUUUAAUUAUUACUAACUGUAUCAACAAAUGCCGUGGGAUUCAGUUCGUUUAAGUUGUCUAUUUAAAUAUCAUUUUUACCACAUGAAUUGUAUUAUGUAUUUAUGUUUGCUUCUAAGAUAUGCCCGGCUUUUGCAAAGCUGUCUAAAAUCAACUGAAAAGUUUUUCUUUUUUGUUGUUCAGAUUGUUUGUUUUGAUGUAUUGGUAAUAGAACUCAUUAGACUAUGGGACCUUAGACAAGUUACCAUAGCUCUUUGCAUCUUUAUUUAUUUUAUUGAUGUAUAAAAUGGUGACAAUAAUGUUACCUCUGAUGUUAAAAAAUAAAAUUUAUGUAAAACCCCAGG
rnacentral:lncRNA from 1 species